rnacentral:rRNA from 1 species
GACAGAGGGUGCAAGCGUUGUUCGGAAUUACUGGGCGUAAAGCGCGUGGGCGGGCUGACAAGUGUGGGGUGAAAUGCCGCGGCUCAACCGUGGAACUGCCUUAGAUACUGUCGGCCUCGAGGAAGGUAGGGGCAUGCGGAACUGUAGGUGGAGCGGUGAAAUGCGUUGAUAUCUACAGGAACGCCGGUGGCGAAAGCGGCGUGCUGGACCUUUUCUGACGCUGAGGCGCGAAAGCUAGGGGAGCAAACGGG